AUUAACUUUUCUUUAAAGAAAUGCAAUUAAAUAGUGUAUAUUUAAUUUAAAAAGUUGUGUUUUAGAUUGUUCAUCAUACAUACAUUUACCUAUAGAUGAUAAGUUUCUUUUAUUCCACUCAUUCAUCAACUUUUUUAUGAUCUCUCAUAGAAUGAAUUUCGAUGAUCUUGUGGAAGAAAUGGAUUCCGAAGUGAAAUACUCACAACCGUUGAGCCCCCAUAGAUUUUGUAUUGAACAUCUGAUGAUCUUCAUUUUGCAUUUUUUAAUAAUAUGUUUUUUACAGAUAAAGUGUUUAAAAAAUAUUUUAUAAUAUCGUUUGCGCUCUUUCAGGAGAACCUUCAAAAAUUGUGGUACCGUCAUCAUGGUCUGUCGGUCACGCAGAUAUAAUCCAGAAGCUGGAUGCCGUUGAGACCCGUCUCACUGCCAUUGAAAAGGCCCCAAAAGAUAAAGCCAAAAAGCCGAGAUGCAGGCACAAAGUAAAUUAUUGCGCAUCACCGGUGACUUGGAGGACGAGCAUUAUAUGGAGCUCGCUUCGAAACUGUCCAAGUCAUCGGAAGAGCACGUGCGCUUCGUGGAAGACAAACACGGAUGCUAUCUAUGAUAACUAUUUCGCUUUUAAAUAUAGUGCGAUUGUAUUAUAAUUUACUGUCAUUUAUUUCUUUAUAACAGAUGCGGCUAAAAUUGAAGGCAAAGGGCACAAAAGGUAUUGAUGGCGUACUGCGUGGUAUGUUUUCAGACGAUAUAAUGUACCAUUAAAAUUUAGAGGUGCGGAGAGAGAAGGAAUCUUUACUAAAGCUACAGUGCGUAAGGUUAGUUUUUGAUAUAUUUCCUGACAAUGACAAAAUCUGUGGAGAGCUCCGGAGAUUUGUGGCCUUAAACCAUAAUCGUUUUAGGCAAAAACAAAAAAAAACAUAA